rnacentral:rRNA from 1 species
AUGAAGCUGAUGGUCUUCUACGGCUUCCGAGGGGAGCGGGGCGAGCUUUCCUUCCUCAAGUUCGUCCUGGAGAGCGCACUGGUGCUGGCGAAGCUGGUGAUCGUGUUCACCAAGGGGAGCUUCACCUCAAUGGCAGAGGUCAGCUCCAAGGUGAAACCUCUGUUUGCUGCAAAAUGGGCCAAUAAAGACUGCUCACUGGUGCUCUUGGAGAGUGUGUUUCAAGCAGGGGAAGACAAGUGGUUGCUCAACUUCAAAGCAGGGUCUGAUUUCUCUACAGGGGACCCAUUCACGCGCACCGCUGCUCUUCGUGGCUGCAACUUUUAA